GCAGUCGAGCGGACAGAUGGGAGCUUGCUCCCUGAUGUUAGCGGCGGACGGGUGAGUAACACGUGGGUAACCUGCCUGUAAGACUGGGAUAACUCCGGGAAACCGGGGCUAAUACCGGAUGGUUGUCUGAACCGCAUGGUUCAGACAUAAAAGGUGGCUUCGGCUACCACUUACAGAUGGACCCGCGGCGCAUUAGCUAGUUGGUGAGGUAACGGCUCACCAAGGCGACGAUGCGUAGCCGACCUGAGAGGGUGAUCGGCCACACUGGGACUGAGACACGGCCCAGACUCCUACGGGAGGCAGCAGUAGGGAAUCUUCCGCAAUGGACGAAAGUCUGACGGAGCAACGCCGCGUGAGUGAUGAAGGUUUUCGGAUCGUAAAGCUCUGUUGUUAGGGAAGAACAAGUGCCGUUCAAAUAGGGCGGCACCUUGACGGUACCUAACCAGAAAGCCACGGCUAACUACGUGCCAGCAGCCGCGGUAAUACGUAGGUGGCAAGCGUUGUCCGGAAUUAUUGGGCGUAAAGGGCUCGCAGGCGGUUUCUUAAGUCUGAUGUGAAAGCCCCCGGCUCAACCGGGGAGGGUCAUUGGAAACUGGGGAACUUGAGUGCAGAAGAGGAGAGUGGAAUUCCACGUGUAGCGGUGAAAUGCGUAGAGAUGUGGAGGAACACCAGUGGCGAAGGCGACUCUCUGGUCUGUAACUGACGCUGAGGAGCGAAAGCGUGGGGAGCGAACAGGAUUAGAUACCCUGGUAGUCCACGCCGUAAACGAUGAGUGCUAAGUGUUAGGGGGUUUCCGCCCCUUAGUGCUGCAGCUAACGCAUUAAGCACUCCGCCUGGGGAGUACGGUCGCAAGACUGAAACUCAAAGGAAUUGACGGGGGCCCGCACAAGCGGUGGAGCAUGUGGUUUAAUUCGAAGCAACGCGAAGAACCUUACCAGGUCUUGACAUCCUCUGACAAUCCUAGAGAUAGGACGUCCCCUUCGGGGGCAGAGUGACAGGUGGUGC
rnacentral:rRNA from 1 species